rnacentral:rRNA from 1 species
GACGAACGCUGGCGGCGUGCUUAACACAUGCAAGUCGAACGGUGAAGCGCCUUCCUUUUUGGUGGGUGUGGAUGAGUGGCGAACGGGUGAGUAACACGUGAGUAACCUGCCCCCUUCUUCUGGAUAACCGCAUGAAAGUGUGGCUAAUACGGGAUAUUCUGGGUCUGUCGCAUGAUGGGUCUGGGAAAGAUAUUGUUUCGGUGGGGGAUGGGCUCGCGGCCUAUCAGCUUGUUGGUGGGGUGAUGGCCUACCAAGGCGGUGACGGGUAGCCGGCCUGAGAGGGGGGCGGGUCCACCGGGGACGGGGCACCGGCCCGAAUUCCACGGGGGGGAGGCGGGGGGGAUAUUUGACAAGGGGGGCCAGGCCUGAGCCGGGGCGCCCGGGGGGGGAGGGGGGGCCGUGGGGUGGGAAACCCUUUUCGCAGGGAAAGAGGGCCUGCCUUGUUUGUGGGGGGGUUGAGGGAGGUGGAGAAAAAGCGCCCGCUAACUUACGG